AGAGUUUGAUCCUGGCUCAGGAUGAACGCUAGCUACAGGCUUAACACAUGCAAGUCGAGGGGAAACGACAUCGAAAGCUUGCUUUUGAUGGGCGUCGACCGGCGCACGGGUGAGUAACGCGUCUCCAACCUGCCCACCACUUGGGGAUAACCUUGCGAAAGUAAGACUAAUACCCAAUGACGUCUCUAGAAGACAUCUGAAAGAGAUUAAAGAUUUAUCGGUGAUGGAUGGGGAUGCGUCUGAUUAGCUUGUUGGCGGGGUAACGGCCACCGAAGGCGACGAUCAGUAGGGGUUCUGAGAGGAAGGUCCCCCANAUUGGAACUGAGACACGGUCCAAACUCCUACGGGAGCA
rnacentral:rRNA from 1 species